ACGGGGUGCAGCAGGCGCGAAAACUUUACAAUGCGGGAAGCCGCGAUAAGGGGACACCGAGUGCCAGCAUUUAUGUUGGCUGUCCACAUGUGUAAACGGCAUGUGUUAGCAAGGGCCGGGCAAGACCGGUGCCAGCCGCCGCGGUAACACCGGCGGCCCGAGUGGUAAUCACUUUUAUUGGGUCUAAAGGGUCCGUAGCCGGUUUGAUCAGUUCUUCGGGAAAUCUGACAGCUCAACUGUUAGGCUUCCGGGGAAUACUGUCAGACUUGGGACCGGGAGAGGUAAGAGGUACUACAGGGGUAGGAGUGAAAUCUUGUAAUCCCUGUGGGACCACCAGUGGCGAAGGCGUCUUACCAGAACGGGUCCGACGGUGGGGGACGAAAGCUGGGGGCACGAACCGGAUUAGAUACCCGGGUAGUCCCAGCCGUAAACGAUGUUCGCUAGGUGUCAGGGACGGUGCGACCGUUUCUGGUGCCGUAGGGAAGCCGUGAAGCGAACCACCUGGGAAGUACGGCCGCAAGGCUGAAACUUAAAGGAAUUGGCGGGGGAGCAC
rnacentral:rRNA from 1 species